ensembl:lncRNA
AGUUGUGCCCUGCUACCUUCCCUCCUGUUUCAAAAGCAUCUUUACAUUUGCCUGCUGCGAAGGAGAAUAUACAGGGGAUAUAGCUCAAAGUCCACAGUCCAGCCCAAGAUGGAGUCCGGCUUUCAAGAUGGAACCUGUUCUGUCUGUUUCCUCCUUCAAAACCACAGGAUGCGGCUGGGCUCCAAGGACGGAAGUUGAAUUCCCUGGAGGGAUCUAAGACCCCCCCUGCCAAGUGGAGGAUAGUGGCAACCAAGCAGAAGCAUGGAGACGCCAGACUGGUUGGAAUCAGCAGGUUGAUGACUUGAGUUUCCUGGAACACCACCCUGUGCCCCCAUCACCAACCAAUCAGAAGAAAGGCAUGCAUCCUGUUGCCCUCACCCCAAACACAGUCUUUAAAAGUGCUUUCCUGAAAACCAUCAGGGGGUUUGAGUCUUUUGAGCCUAAGCUGCCCUUAUUCCUUGCUUGGUGCCUGCAAUAAAC